AUACGGAGGAUCCGAGCGUUAUCCGGAUUUAUUGGGUUUAAAGGGUGCGCAGGCGGGAGAUUAAGUCGGCGGUGAAAUUUUUCAGCUCAACUGUAAAAGUGCCUUCGAAACUGGUUUCCUUGAGUGUAGAUGAAGUAGGCGGGAUUUGUGGUGUAGCGGUGAAAUGCAUAGAUAUCACGAGGAACUCCGAUUGCGCAGGCAGCAUACGAAACUACUAAUGACGCUCAGGCACGAAGGCGUGGGGAUCAAACAGGAUUAGAUACCCUGGUAGUCCACGCAGUAAACGAUGAGUACUAGCUGUUUGCGAUACAAUGUAAGCGGCUGAGCGAAAGCGUUAAGUAAUCCACCUGGGGAGUACGUUCGCAAGAAUGAAACUCAAAGGAAUUGACGGGG
rnacentral:rRNA from 1 species